rnacentral:rRNA from 1 species
AACCGAGAACUCCUACGGGAGGCAGCAGUGGGGAAUUUUGGACAAUGGGGGCAACCCUGAUCCAGCAAUGCCGCGUGAGUGAAGAAGGUCUUCGGAUUGUAAAGCACUUUAAGUUGGGAGGAAAGGCAUUAACCUAAUACGUUGGUGUCUUGACGUUACCGACAGAAUAAGCACCGGCUAACUCUGUGCCAGCAGCCGCGGUAAUACAGAGGGUGCAAGCGUUAAUCGGAAUUACUGGGCGUAAAGCGCGCGUAGGUGGUUUGUUAAGUUGAAUGUGAAAUCCCCGGGCUCAACCUGGGAACUGCAUCCAAAACUGGCAAGCUAGAGUAUGGUAGAGGGUAGUGGAAUUUCCUGUGUAGCGGUGAAAUGCGUAGAUAUAGGAAGGAACACCAGUGGCGAAGGCGACUACCUGGACUGAUACUGACACUGAGGUGCGAAAGCGUGGGGAGCAAACAGGAUUAGAUACCCUAGUAGUCCGACUGAGA